CGGACGGGUGAGUAACGCGUGGGUAACCUGCCUGAUGGAGGGGGAUAACUACUGGAAACGGUAGCUAAUACCGCAUAACGUCGCAAGACCAAAGAGGGGGACCUUAGGGCCUCUUGCCAUCGGAUGUGCCCAGAUGGGAUUAGCUAGUAGGUGGGGUAACGGCUCACCUAGGCGACGAUCCCUAGCUGGUCUGAGAGGAUGACCAGCCACACUGGAACUGAGACACGGUCCAG
rnacentral:rRNA from 1 species